AUUGAACGCUGGCGGCAUGCUUUACACAUGCAAGUCGAACGGUAACAGGCCUUCGGGUGCUGACGAGUGGUGAACGGGUGAGUAAUGCAUCGGAACGUACCCAGAGGUGGGGGAUAACGCAGCGAAAGCUGUGCUAAUACCGCAUGUGAUCUGAGGAUGAAAGCGGGGGACCGAGCAGCAAUGUUUGGCCUCGCGCCUUUGGAGCGGCCGAUGUCGGAUUAGCUAGUUGGUGGGGUAAAGGCCUACCAAGGCGACGAUCCGUAGCUGGUCUGAGAGGACGACCAGCCACACUGGGACUGAGACACGGCCCAGACUCCUACGGGAGGCAGCAGUGGGGAAUUUUGGACAAUGGGCGCAAGCCUGAUCCAGCAAUGCCGCGUGCGGGAAGAAGGCCUUCGGGUUGUAAACCGCUUUUGGCAGGAACGAAACGGUGUCCGCUAAUACCGGGCGCUAAUGACGGUACCUGCAGAAUAAGCACCGGCUAACUACGUG
rnacentral:rRNA from 1 species